rnacentral:rRNA from 1 species
AUGCAACCCUACUGUUUGAAUGCCUUUGGCGCACGCUCUCACAUCAAACUACGGAGCAAGUACUAUGGGCCUUUCCAGGUCAUAGCCAAAGUUGGGCGCGUCGCUUACAAGCUCCUCCUACCUGACAACACGGGCAUCCACCCAGUAUUCCAUGUCAGCCAGUUGAAAAAACAUGUUGGACACUCGGCCGUUCCCUGUGUUGAUCUUCCUCUGGUUCGAGCAGAUGGGCUGAUACUUACUGAACCUGUUCUGGUAUUGGAGACUCGCCAGGUGCCACGCAACAAUCUGCCGGUGGUUCAAUGGCUAGUCCAAUGGGCAAACCUACCACCUGAUGAAGCAUCAUGGGAAGACGCAUCAUUCAUGAAGAAGACCUUCCCUGCAUUCUUCAAAGCAACCAUUGAUCGUUGCUUCAACAGAUCACCUUCUUGA